rnacentral:rRNA from 1 species
GGCCAGACUCCUACGGGAGGCAGCAGUGAGGAAUAUUGGUCAAUGGGCUUACGCCUGAACCAGCCAAGUCGCGUGAGGGAAGACUGCCCUAUGGGUUGUAAACCUCUUUUGUCAGGGAGCAACGCCGGCUACGUGUAGCCGGACUGAGAGUACCUGAAGAAAAAGCAUCGGCUAACUCCGUGCCAGCAGCCGCGGUAAUACGUAGGUGGCAAGCGUUGUCCGGAUUUACUGGGUGUAAAGGGCGUGUAGCCGGGCUGACAAGUCAGAUGUGAAAUUCCGGGGCUCAACCCCGGACCUGCAUUUGAAACUGUUGGUCUUGAGUAUCGGAGAGGCAGGCGGAAUUCCUAGUGUAGCGGUGAAAUGCGUAGAUAUUAGGAGGAACACCAGUGGCGAAGGCGGCUUACUGGACUGUAACUGACGUUGAGGCUCGAAAGCGUGGGGAGCAAACAGGAUUAGAUACCCCAGUA